rnacentral:rRNA from 1 species
UGGGUUUGAACUGUUGGAGACAGUCCUAGAGAUAGGAUCUUCCCUUCGGGGACCCCAGCAG